ACCAGCCACUGUCCCUCAGUUCCUUCAGCCCUGGCUGCUAGAGGCUAUGAGAGCCUCACUGGGGUCCCCAGGGACACUGUGGGGAGAGCCUGCCUUGAGCUCGCUGGCCUUGCCUGCAGGCCUGGCCCACAGAUUAAAGGGCUGGCCGCUGCAAACUGCAGCUGAAACCCAGCUGUCCCUGUAAGUCCGCCCAGCCUACUUUCUGAAGCGUGUCAUCUGAACAGGACCCUCAGCUGGCGCGGAGAGGUAAAACACUACUUCAGGGUGACGACUCCUGGGUGCGAACUGCACACGCCCCCAGCGAGCCUCUGCUUUGUCCUGUCCACCCCUCAGUCUGGCGUCUCUCUUUGGCCUCAUCUCCCUCUAGUGCUUUGUUUUCUUUUCCUCUCCCUCUGCGUGCUCUCCCUCUGUGGAGCUCAGUCUCUUUCCAUCUGUCUCCGUCCUUUCUCCAUCUUUCCCCAAUGUUUACCUCUCAUUCUCUCUCCUGUGGUUUCUGUCUCACUGUGUUUCUCUCUCUCUCUCUCUCUCUCUUUCUCUCUCUCUCUCUCUCUCUCUCUCUCUCUCUCUCUCUCUGCCUCUCAGUUGGUUUCUAAGUCCUUCUUAGCCUCUGCUCUCCCUUUCCCUCUGUCUUUUACACCCCUCUGUCUGUCCUGUCUCUGUAUAUCUCUCUUUCAGUUCUUGAUCCUUUGAUUCUCUCUUUGUCUCUCAGACUCUGUUCUGGCCUCUCACAGUCUUUGUCCCUCUGUCUGUCUCUCUGUCUCACAAUCUUUGUCUCUUAGAUUGUCUGACUUCCCCUUAGACUCAGCACUCGCUCGCUCGCUCUCUGUCUCUCUCUUUCUCUCUCUGUCUAUCUCUCAUCUUUGAGUAAAGGUGCCCAGACAAAAUGCCCAGCAAGACCGAAGCCCUCCCAGGGCUCCACAGAAUAGGGGAGGGUGGGCUGCCAGGCUGAGACCACAUGUAAGUCUGGCACAGCAGUUUGGCUAUGAAACUUCCCUUGUGGUCAUAUUAAGAAAGUGCCCAGCAGGGGACAUUCUGGGCAUGGAAAGCAAGUUCCAUCCCCACUCACUUCAUAAGCAGCAGCAAUACACAUCUCCUCUCACCCUGGGGAGCAGAGGAAAGGCAAUUACAGGCUGUGUCAGCUAAUCCUGAAAAACCCCUCCAGAGAGUCAGACACUCUCGUUCCUUGUAUUCUUUGGUCCUUCUUAGUAGCAGGAAAGGCCUUCAGAAACCAGUGUCUAAACAAAAUGCCAGCAAUAAGAUGACAGGUCUGUACUGUCUCUAAAUAUACGGGGGAAGCAGAGCUGGGACUGAGAGAUGGAUAAAGAAUUAAUGAGGAUAUGACUGGUAAACAAUGCAGAACCUUAAAGCUUUUGAAAGGACAGCCGGAGUACUUCUGGCCAUUCAUACCUCUGGCCAAGUGACAACAUUUCCUCCAGAAUAACCCUCUAGCAACCAAUGUAUCAGAGAAAUAAUAAUAGCAUUUCUCUUGAGUCAGAGGUAUUGCCAGACACUCAUCAGAUAUGAUCUUAAUCAAUCCUAUAGAAAAUCCUAGAUAAAUAGUCAUCUCUCCAUUUUACAGAUGGAGAAACUGAGGCUCAGAAAAAUUAAUUGCCCCCCAAAUACACAACUAGUUAGCAGAAGAGCUAAGAUAGAACCUAGGACUGUCAGGCUCCAAGCUGGCAUGCGUCCCCCACUGCCACACUGAAAAAACAGUCUAAUCGUGUGGGGAUGGUUCUUUUCACACCUGAGUGUCCUUUCUGUGGGUGGAUUGGAAAUAGAAACAGUUGGACAUGAUUAAGCAUCAGGUCAAGCUGACCUCCCUUCCUUGCCUGCCAGGCAGCAGGUGGCUUCUGAGCAUGUCCAGAAGCGAUGCUGUUCCAAUUAGCCCAGGUAGCAAAGGACCACAGGGAUGGGAAAGGAGCUUCAGGAAAUAUUCCACUUGGUGCCUCUUCAUCUAAUCAGCACUAAAAGAAAGAUAUUUAAGGCGUAGGAAACCUGCACCCUCAGAGGAUAGGAAGGGAGGGAGGUCCCACUGAAGACUCCUGUGGGUAGCAGGACAUAGAAGAGGUGUGUGUGCCAUGCUGUUGUCAUGUCAGAGAAGACUCUAGAAACAAGGUUGCUUUUCUGUUUUUGUUUUUGUUUUUUAAAAAAGCACUUGGUCCGUUUACCUGGAGACUCCCCAUUACUUCCUUGGUUGGAGAGCCAUGUCUCAUAUCCUGUCACUGCUUCUGUAGACGAAAGGGGGAAAGGGCGGCUUGAAAGACAGCCAGGCAGCGGAACAUGCCACACACACUCAGGGAUAUUUAAACCUGCUUAGGCUCUUGGAGCUAAGUUCUCCCUGCACUGAUCUCAUGGGGUCAAGAUGUGUGUAUCUGGUGCCAGAAUGAGGCUCUGGCCUCAUACAAAAAAAGUUUAUGAGGUUUCAAACAAUUCAUGACUCGGAUUAAAACAAAAGUGAGCCAGACAGUACACACCCAAAGUGGAUUUGGGCCCAGUUGCCAAUUUGACAGACUUUAUUGAAGACAUAAACUAGAUUCCAUUCCAUGCCACAAAUAUUUCUGUAGUUCCUACUGUGUGCCAGUGCUGAGCUAGACACUGAGGAUAUGGAAAUAAACCAGCCAUGCCCUCUGACUUGAAAAAGCCGAUAAUUCUAGGAUGGAGAUCAAAUAGGUACUCAAAGAAAAAGGGUUACUCAGUGUCCAAAAAGUAUUUGGGGGGGGUGUGGCUACUACGUGCCAGACAUCCUGAACUAGGAAUGACUAAAAAGAUGAUCUGAUAACAAAUUUGACCCUCUUUUUUCAUCAAAUAAGCCAGAUUCAAUUCACUUUCAUUAAGGGACUUUUAAAAAUGAUUUUUAAUGCUAUUUUUCUUGCUAGACUAUAAGCAUCCUGGGGACUGGGCUACAGACCUGCAGUGUCCACAGUGUGUCUUCAAUGCUGAGAUUGUGUCUGGUCUCAUGAAUAUCAAGAAAGUCAGGAACCAGGGGACGCUUCUAGGCUCUGGGGGUGGACAUGAGAUGGAGAAGGGGUGGGGAACAAAGGGCCUCCCAUCAAAUUACCCUACAAGACAGAGCAAUAUAACUUUUCCAAGAGAAGUGUCCUCCUUUCCCUCCCUCAUCCACCAACAUGCACAGUCAAUUAAGGACUUGCGGGCCUCAGACUCCCCUGGCUUGCUGCACAUGUUGUGGUUUUCAAGCUGUGGACCACACACACUUCAACCUCCUUCCUCUGCCACCUACACCAUAGAGUCCGGAGAGCCGACAUCCUUACCUCCCCACCCCUCUGGCAGCUGGGGAUGGCCAUGUGAUAUGGUUCUAUCCAGUGAGCUGCUGAUGGAAAUUUCUAGGGAAGGCUUCUCUUUGAGAACAAAAAGACAACUCUUACAAGAAGAAAGUGUUGGAAUUUUGCCCUUCAUACCUCCCCCUCCUUCCUGGGUCCUAAGAGGCACUGGCAACACUUCCUGUCACAGCAGCCCUGAUUUGUCACUAGGGGCUUCUUGCUGUGAAUGAGAAGAUUCCCUUCAUUAUUCAGGCCACUGUAUUUGGGCCUUUGUUAAUGUGUUAAGCACAUUACUGGGCAUGUUCCCAAUGUCAGAGACUUUGCAUUCAUCAGCCACCACACAAAUAGGAAGAAAUAACUAACAUUUAUUGAACAAUUACUUUGUGCCAGACUUGUUUUCUGAGCUGUUACAAAUAUCAACUCUUUACUCCUUAUGUUAGCAUCAGUCCCACUUUAUAGAUGAAGAUUUGGGUUUGUAGAGGCUGUUGGUAAAGGGCAGAGCUCUGGCUGAUCUCUUCCCCACUGCCUGUGAGGAAGAAACCAGAAACUUUUUCUGUGGAAAAAACAAAUCCCUUUGGAUGUAAGCCACAUUUGAGCUGUCUGGGGGGACAUUGAGGAGGUAUUUAUGAUAUUGGGAGAAAACCGGGAGCCAAAGGUACAAGGAUGUUUUAGGGAGAUGUUAGGUACUGGGAAUUGAACCAAGGGAUGCUCUACCUCUGCGCUACGUCCCCAGCCCAUUUUAUUUUUGUUUGUUAUUUUGAGACAGGGUCUCACUAAGUUGCCCAGGAUGGCCUCAAGCGGUGAUUCUCCUGCCUGAGUCUCCAGAGUUGCUGGGAUUACCGGUGCACACCACCAUACCUGGCUCAAAAGUCAAAGGACCUUUGAGGAAGGGUGAGAAUGACUGGGUUUGCCUGCUGCAGGGCCCAGGGAAGAUAAAUCCAGGCCUUUCCAGAAUGGAAAGCCCUAUUUACCACUGUGUUCCCCUAGCACUUGGUCUCAUUUCUCAAGGAAAUAGGGGCAAAGGAGCACCACACUCCAAGGUAAAUCCCAGCUCUGGAAGAUAGCUCAAUAAAGGCUCACCUAGCUUAAUUAAAAUGUGCCAUACCUGGGUGCUGAGCUUAGUUUUAAAGAGAUAUGAACAUCAGAACCCUGGCAUUCACAGGCAGCCAGUUCCUUCCUGAAGAAUUUCCACUAAUCUCUUUUCCAGGAAUAGACCUUGGCUCCCAGGCAGUGUCAGUGAGUUCAAGGCACAGCUUGACUCCAGCCCUCUCACCAACAAAGCAAAACGACCUAGCUGUAGGCAAUAGAUGGAGCCUUCUUGAGGCCACCACACCAGGACAGUUUCCGUGGUCUGGGAUCUUUGGAACCCUCCCUGCUCAAGUACCUGGGCAUUAGAGGUUUGAGGGAGAAAGAGGUGGCACUAAGGGACAACAGAAGUUCACAGACAUAGCUGAACCUUCACCACUCUCUGUUGCUUCCUCCAUCCACCCUUCUGUGGCAGCCUCCCCACUUCAGCUGCCCUCGAUCAGGCUUUGAUUCUUCCUGGAAAUGAUCGCCACUGAAAUAGAAGAUGUAAUUUGUAAAAUACCCUGUUCAGAUUUGCAUCAAAAUUAGACAGAAUAGGAGAGUGGGGGGAGUUACAGAUGAAUCAGCGUUGAAUCCCAGUUGAUAAAUUAAAAGCUCCAUGAUGGCAUUAGUUAUAAGAGCCCAGAAGUGGAAGCAACCCAAGUUAUUGUAUCUAUCAACAGAUAGACAUAAAUAAAAUGCAUUACAUAUAAUGAAAUAUUAUUCAGCCUUGAAAAGGAAGGAAAUUCUGACAUAUGCUACAACUGGAUGAGCUUUGAGGACAUUUUGCUAAAUGAAAUCAGCCAGUCACAAAAAGACAAAUAAUUUAUUAUCUCAUUAAAGUACUAUCUCAUUUAUAAGAAAUACCUAGAAUAGUCAAAUUCUUAGAGACAAAAAGUAGAGUAGUGGUGGCCAGGGACUGAAAGAGGGGGGGAAUGGGAACUUGUUUAAUGAACAUAGAGUUUCAAUUCUGCAAAAUUAAAAGAGUUCUAGAGAUUGGUUGUACAAAAAUAUGAAUGCACUUCAUACUACUGAACUAUAUUCUUAAAAUGGCUAAGAUAGUAAAUUUUAUAGUACAUCUAUUUUACCACAAUUGAAACUUCUAUAGUUUUAACAUUUAAAAAAAUUUUUUAAUGCUGAGUGUUGUGCACAUGAGUAUUAUUAUCCUGUUUGUCUACACUUCUAUAUGCAUUUGAAAUUGUCUAUAGUAAAAAGCUAAAUGUGCUCUAUACAUUAUUAGUCAGGGUUCUUCAAAGAAACAGAAUAGGAUAGAUAUAAGACAAGAUUUACUAUGAGAAUUGGCUCACACAAUUAUGGAAGGCAACAAGGCCUAUGAUAUGCCAACUGAAGACUGGAGAACCAGGAAAGUUGGUGAUGUAAUUCAGUCUGAAGGGCUCGGGACUAAGUUCCUAAUGCAUGAAUCUUUGGGGAACAAACCACAUCCAAAUAUCAGCUACUGAUUCCAAUGCUAAUCUCUCCUAGAAACAUCCUCCCAGACACUCCCAGUAAUAAUGUUUUACCAACUAUCUGGGUAUCCCUUAGCCCUGUCAAGUUGACACAAAAUAAGCCAUCCACAAUAUUCAAUACUAACAAAAACCACAUUUUAAAAGUCUAGUAACAAAUUUAAGAAAUGUGCACAGCUACAUAAUACAUUAAAAUCAUUACUAAAGGAUAUAAAGGAGGGGUUUUUAAAAUUUUUUUCUUUUGGUACCCCGGAUUGAGUCCAGGGGUGCUUAACCACUGAACCACAUCCCAAACCCUUUUUUAUUUUUUUAGACAGUAUCUCACAAAGUUGCUCAGGGCCUUGCAAAAUUGCUGAGGCUGCUUUGAAUGUGUAAUCCUCCUGCCUCAACCAUCCGAGCCACUGGGAUUACAGGUGUGCACCAUCAGACCCAGCUCUGAGAUGUUUUUUAUACCAUCAUAUUGUCUAGAAUUAAAAUUGAUGAGAAAAAUAAUGGGAGCCCCUAAAGGAUGGAGGUAAUACAAAUUGCCAAAUGGCCAAAAAGCUGCCUUAGCUUCCUGAGUUGCUGGGAUUUCAGGUGUGUGCACACACAAUGUCCAUUUCUUCCAUAUUUAUUUACAAAUUUAGUUCAAUCCUAUUCAAAAAGUCAACAAGAAACUAAUGUAAAAGAGCAGCCUGAUUGUAAUGUUCAUCAGGAAGGGGAACUGCAUAAGAAGAGCCAAGAUGAAUUUGGGAAAUAUAACAAGGAGGGAAACACAUCUCUUACCAGGGAGCCAAGUUUCCUUUAACACCACGGUAAUUACUAUUGGAAGGUAGAGCCACAGGAGCUACUUGACAUCAGGGAUCAGAAAAACUGAACAAAGUGUGACAUUCCAUUCCAUUCAAAAAGGUGAGACCCACAUGAUAAGAAAAACCAAGUGGAGUAUGAAGGAACAGGGGAUUCUGGGACAGCAGCAACUUAACUUAUCUGUCCACUUUCUUUCCAUACAUCACCCAGCUCCUACCCAACUCUUCUUCCAAGACAAGUAGUCGCCAAAGUCAACAGGCAGGCAUGAGCCUGGAGGAAGUAUGCUGGAGUGGUGAAGUGGGGCUUUCUCCCUCUAAGACAUGCUGGAUGAGCCACUGAAGCAAGUGAGACUCCAGCCACAUAAACAUGCUCAAGCUUCCCCAGUCCCUCAAAAGCUAAGGAGGAACUGAUUAGCUGAGCCAAGGUUGCUGUAUCUUUGAGGCUCUGAGUCCCAGGAACAGAAAGCUCUUCCUGCUCAACAGGGCAUUGCCUACCUGUUUGCCUGUCCUUUCAAGGACUUUCAGGGACCCACACCAUCAGGCAAAGAGAGGAAACAACCUAGUUAAGAAAGAGGCCAGCAGCCACAGGGGAGGAGCUUACCGUACACCCAGCACUGUCAUCUAAAAAGUGGUCGGAGGAGACAAAGGAUGAUUUCAACAACAGAAAGAGCUCAGCAAAAAUGUCCCGAAACUAACAACCAUGCCUUUUUAAUAAUAAAGAGAAAUGAAGUGGAUGACUCAAGGGCAAGGAUAGUCAGGGAUAUGAUUUGAAUUGUAGUUUGGAAGAUAAUGUGCAAGAAAUAUUGCAAACCCUGGGCAAAAUGCAAAGAUAUAUAAAUCAAGAUGAAAGAUAAAAGAGAUAGGGAGGGCAGAUUUAGAAGAUCUAACAUGAGACUAAUUACUGAGUCCCAGAGGAAAAAAAGAACAAAAAGAGAUUGGAAUAACAGAUACAGACUCCUAGAGUAUAAAGACUGUCGCCUAGCAAUCCCAUCUCUAGCCAAGUUGUCAUUCACCCAUAGGAGUUAAAUAUAAAUACACACACACAAAAUCUCUGGAUAAAUUUAUAUACACAUAUAUGUAUAUAAAUAUUCAAAAAUCCAAAGAUGAUAUUGCUCAAUGCAUUCUGGAAGAAAACAGUUUUUUAAAAAACUCAAACCAAAAUCAAAUGACUUAUAACAGAGAAUAUAAAAUAGAGGAAAAAGGAGAAAGCAAUCAAUUAUACUUAACUAUAUCUAUAUAAAUACAUAUAUAUAUAUAUAUAUAUAUAUAUAUAUAGUUGAUGCAGAUAUAUAUAAAUAGUUGAUGCAAACUAUAUAUAUUAUACUUAACUAUAUAUAUAGUUAUAUAUAUAGUUGAUGCAAACUAUAUAUGUAUAUAUAUAUACACCAUGUAUCUAACACACACACACACACACACACACAUAUAUAUAUAGUUAAGUAUGAUUGAUGAUUGAUUGCUUACUCCUUUUUAUAUAUAAAUGUAUAGAUAUGUAUUGUUAAAUAUAAAUGGAUGAUGAUAGACUGUCUGGAAAUAUGUAAUAUUAAAAAGGAUUCUUAAAAUAGAGGUGAAAUAUCACAAAUGAAAUACUAAUAAGAUUCAUAAAGAAAAGUACUAAGCAAUUUCAGCAAAAUCUAGGAGUUGGGGGCAGGGCAUGCUAAGUAAAAAAUAUCUUAUAAACUGUUGGGGUAAGAGGGAAAAAACUUGGACAGUAAAAGCAUUCUCAAUAUCUUAUUGGUGGAAGAAAGAAUGCAUGGAGGAAAUAAUAGAAACAGAGUUUCUAAGCGGGGGAACUGUAGCUUACAUGACUAUACUGCUAAAGGAAUAAUUUGAUUAUGAACACCUGGAAAGUAAGGGGGUCAUAAUCCUUAAGGAAAUGGUAAGAGCACAGGGGAAUGUGCACAUUAACUAGGAUGGAAACAAACAGCAAUUUGAGUAAACCAGUGUAAAAUUAAGGGAGAGAAGCAUGGAGCCCUGAGCAAGUAUUUAGUUCAGUGUUGCUGUUAUGGCAAAAUCCAAAACAAGCUAAAUGUCCAUCAGUAAAGGGCUAGUGAAGUGAAUCUUGGUACAUUCACACUAUGGGGUCUGUAUCUAACAUAGAAAAAAGUAAAAAGAUAUCUUUCAAACUGUAGAAUAUAGUGCAAAGCCUACCGUUUUUAUAACAAACACACAAAGCUAUAAAUUGUGCCUGCAUUGUAUGAGUAUGUAAAUGGCGUAGGGACGAGAAUUGGAGACUAGGAAAAGGAAUUUUAGUUUUAUCUGUAUUAUUUGAGUGUUUUACAAUAAGAAUGUAAUUGUGAAUUACAUAUGUAUAAUUAAAAUACAUUUCUCACCCAUAAAAUGAAGGAAGACCUUCAUGUUUUGAAGGGUGAAUGCAUACAUUAAUCCACUUAUUCAUGGGUAGGUACUACAGCCAGCCGCUAUUGGGGAGGAAAACAUGAAUCUGGGACAGGUGAGUCCUGGAGGCGCUCUCUGCCUGGGAGACAAGACUUGUAAAUCAGAAGUUAAAUGUGUCAGCGAAAUACGAUCUGACAUAUAUGUCACAGGAGGCAUCCAAACAAAUGCUAUGGAGUUUGUGAGAGGUGAUUAUGUUCAGAGAGGAAAAAAAAGGCAAGAUGGAUUUCACGGACAAAGCAGCACGUGUGUAUGAGUGUGUGUGUGUGUUGUGUGGUGCAUAUGGGGUGUGUAUGUUGUGGGCACAGACUCAAAUACACGUGUCGACAGGGGCUGGGAAAGAGCAACAGGCAGGCUAGGAGAGGAAGAGCCUCAGUGGGCACCAUGUGCAAGAGCGCCUAUGAGGGGUGAACUUGGGAACCAGGGAGGGUAGUGGACACUGGAGUUUGGUUAGCUGGAUGGUGGGAGGGGAGAGAGAGUAGGAAGUGUUCAAACCAGACAGGAAGGCCAUGGUAAAAGUGUUCAUUUAUGAAGCUAACAUUUCCCUAGUGACAACUGUGUACCUGGCCCUAUCUCCUCAAGAGUUUCACUGUCUUAUGGAGGAAGAAGGGAAGUUGUCUGAGAACAACAGUAAAUAAAUGAUUUCAUAUUUUAAAAUAACUGCAAUGCUACAUGCUUGAUUACAGAAUAAAGACAGUUGGGCCGAGAGGUUUGGAUUUAAUGUAUAAGGUGAUGGGGGGCUUGAUCCAUUUCAGGCGUCUCACCAUGGCAGUGUGAGCAGAGUGGAUUAGCCGGGGAGGGAGCCGGAGCAAAGUGACCAUAAUGAAUCUUGACAGAGGAGGUCAAGGUGAUGGUCUGGACCAGAAGCCUAUAUAAGGGAGUGGCAGGGAGGGGAGUGGUAAACAACAGGUCUGAGCAAUACAGCCAGGGCAGGAUUGUCAGUUCAGUUGCAGAUGUGCUUCCUGUGAAGUAUUUGUGGGACACUCAAGCAGAGGUGCAUAUUAGGCUAUUGGAUAAAGGGAAUUCGGGAUGGUCAUCUAGCUGGAGAUAAUGACAGAUCUGGGAGUCCCUGUUUCUGGGUGAAAAACAAAACAUGGAGAAAUCAGCCAAGGUAAGCACCUGGCAUGGAUGAGGAGAGGUGGCUCUGGGAAGCCAACAAUGGGAAAAUAGCUGGGGAAAGGGUCUCAAUUACCAGGAAGAUCACAGAGGCAGCUCCUCCCCAAACCUGGGCUCCUACAGGCCAAGGGUGGGAGGCCCUUUGAUUUGGCUUGUGUCGCUACCUCUGGGAGCUGAUGGCUGAGGCUAAAGCAAGAAGGGAGGGCAUCUGCUUCAGCAUGCAGGAGGGAUGGAUGUACGCUGGGAACUUGGGGUGGCUAAAAUACUCAAGGAGUCACUGCAGCCUCUGUUAGAAUCGUCACAUCCAUGGUGAUUGCACUCUGCCCACUGGCCUUCAUACUGCUCUUCACUGGCUUCCCCCACAAAAGCUUGCCUGAAAGUACAGAUCCCCCAGGUCAGAGGAGAGGGAAAUGAGGCCCACACUCUGCCACGUGGACAUGGGUACAGGAUUUUGCCUUGAGUGAGUCGUGGUGUCCACUGUCAUGCAUUUGUGGUGGGUGUCAGGCAUGUUCUAUAACCUCAGAUUUAAGGCUUCUUUGAUACUGAUUUUGUUUUUAUGGUACUCAGUUGGGUUUUUUUUUUCCCUGUGAAUAAAGGGAAAACUGAAUCUGGAGGUCAAGGCUUCCAUAAUUUGGUUCCCUGCGACUUAGUUGUGCCUGCCGUCUUCAGUUCCUGCCUCCUGAUCACACUCCACCCCUCUCUAUGCUGUCCUCUACCCUGGGAGGCUGACCUAUCUAUAGAGGCCUCCUGCUUAGAUUGGGCUCAGGCAACGGGAGUUCUGGAAGGACGUCUACAGAGAGAGAACUGUGAAGUCAGGGUAUUUAUUUCUCGGAAUCCUAAGUGUGGAGCCUAGUUUUACAGGCCAAAGCCUGCAAUUUUAUUAGCCUGUAAUUAUAAAUAAAAUGCUGGGUCCAAAAGUGACUGUCUAUUUAGUCUAAGAAGUCACAAGAAACUUCAGAUUUUUAAAGGCUGACAAACAACACAGUUAUGGUAAAAUGCAGAAAAAUAAUGUUUCUCAAUUGCCUGAAAAAUAUUUAUAAAACUUUUUUCCAUAUCUUUUAGCUUACAACUUUGAAGUAUAAUUUUCUGGGAAAAGAACAGAAGUAUAAUCCAGUCUUUAGUAGUAGAUUUGUUUGACAAUUCAUUUCUUUUAUCAUUGGUCAUUUUGAGCUGUUUCAGUUUCACAACUUCUUGUUUGUAACAUCGUGUAAAAUUUUGAAAUUGUUUUCAAAUUUGGAAAGACCAUCACCAUCCUCCAUCUAUAACUAAGAUUUAGGAUCUCUCUGUUUCUCUCUUUCUUUUGUACCUUUGAAUUAGUGACACUUAUAAGCUAGUUCAAUGUCCCCAUUAUACAUGUGGCACCUUGUGAAUUUGAUGGUACUGUGGGGCACUGCCCAGAUCACCUUUUCAGGCCAUUGUUUAGCUGCUGGGAUUAUCAGAUUUACUGGGGCCACAUGGCUGGUCUGUUCCUCCCAACCCCGAUGUCCUCAUUUCCUCACAUGUGUAUCUGCUGAGAACACUCCACCACAAACAGUCUGCAUACAGUUUUCCAUCUCAUAGUCAGUUUUGGGGAAACCCAAUCUAAGAUACCUUGAAAGAUGUUGUAUUCUGUAUCAAAGCAGCAAAAAAUGUCAGACUUUCCCCAGUGAGUUCAUAUGCUUUACUUUUUCUCAUCAUUAAGUUUAUUGCCAGGUACAGUGGCAUAUGCCUGCAAUCCCAGCUACUUGGAAUGCUGAGGCAAGGGGAUCACAAGUUCAAGGUCAGCCUAGACAACUUAGUAAGUACCUUUCCCUCCAGAAAAAUGGAGGGUCAGGAAGGAGGGUGAGUACUGGGGAUGUAGCUGAGUUGUACAGCACUUGCCUAGCAUGUGCAAAUUCUGGGUUUAAUCCUCUGUGCUGAAAAAAAAAAAAAAAUAUAUAUAUAUAUAUAUAUAUAUAUAUAUAUAUAUAUAUAUAUGAAUAUCUUGAUUUUGCAAAAAAAAAAAAAGAAAAUUUAAAAAAAUGUUUCGCAUGUGAACACAUUGCUAGGUACCUCACAGGCCAUGGAGGAUACCUGUGUAAGUGUGGGGCCCUGAAAUCUAAAUUUCACCAGCUUCACUGCCCUUCCAGUUUACCUCCAGCUGACUGGGCCCUUGGACUGAACGCCUCUGUUCAGUCUAAGGCAGCUGCUGUGCAUGACAUUGUUCUAGUCAUUGCUCUUUGUGCCUACAGGUACUAACACCUUGGCUCUAGGUCCAAUGUACUGCACGCACUAUUCUUUGUGAUUUCCUUGCUCCCAUAUCCUCCUGGAACCAUCUAAUUAGGAUGUACCCUUUGUUCCUUGUUGGGACCCUGACAGGUCAUCAAUCCCUCCUCCCCAACGAGCAGCUGACUCUUCCCAUCUUCAUGCCAACCCCAGGUCCAUUCAUUGUUCUGAGCCUUGGCUUACCCCAUCCUCCUACCCAGAAUGUAGUCCUGGGCAAAUUCUAUCCAUCCUUUCAGACCCAGCCCUGUCCUGUCCUCCUCCUAGGCAGUGUGGUUCUCAGGAAGACCUGAAGGGUCAGUGGACAUCUGAGCUUUAAUCUGAGCAGUGUCCGUCUUGCAGAAACUCCAGGGCAGGGAGACGGGUUCCUGAAGAUAUCGAUUUCAUAAUUAACCCUCCGAGAAGGAGGCUUUUUAAGAGAUCUUUCCUGGAGACAAGAAUCACUGCUUAGCCUGCCACUUAGACCCUGUCAAAGUGAGGAAGAGUCUUCCCUCCCCUGGGUGAGUGGACUGGGAUUCCCUGAGUCGUGACAGUGGGAGUGAUUAAAAGGGAGGCUGGCCACAUGCCCUGCACAAAUCAUUUCCAGCUGCGGUGCCCGAGGGAUUCUGCAGGAAUGUAGGGUAGGGCACAAAUUCAUCCUUCUCCCUGGGCCUGUUUUAGAGAAGAAAAUUGUGUCAGACCUAGAGAAAGGGGCUUCUGGGAAAAUAAUGGAGAGAACAGCAGUCAUGCCAGAGGUAGCAGAGCCCAGGUCUCCUUCUCUCAGGCUCUGCGAAACACCUCAUGCAGGAAAUAGAAGCACCUCUCUAUUAAUGGGAGCAAGUGAUGGCCACCCCCUAGAAAAGGAGGCCAGGGAAGGAGCGAGGAAGGAGUGGGCUUCUAAUCUUUUCUCCAGAAGGCAGAGCAGCCCGGGGAGAGUUUGCUGGCUCCCCUUAAGGAGAUGGCAUGGGGCCAAGUAAAUUCCUGGGGUGGAAAAAUGGAUAUAAGAUUUUGGCCAGAGAGGAGGUUCUUGUCACCAAGAAUGCAGGGAAUCUGCUUAGUAUUGGGGCACUUCAGAAAUAACAAUCCCCAAACGAAGGGAUUUUCAAACCAGGAAAUUCCCCAGAUGUCUGGGAAAUAUGUGCUGUGGUUUAAAUCUAUCCAUCCAAAGUUCAUAUUUGGAAUUUUAACUCCUCAGUGUGUCACUGUUGGGAGAUGGGUCUAUUGCAAGGUGUUUGAAUGAUUCUCCAAUGAAAGACCUCUUACUCCCUUAGGAAUGGAUUAGUUACAGAGAGAGCAGUUGUUAAAAAACAUGGCCACCUCUCAUGUUUUGCCUCUUUGCACGCACCCACUUGCCCUUUUGCUUUCCAUGUGAAAUGAAGCAUCAUGAAACCCUCACCAGAAGCUGAGCAGAUGCCACCAAAAUGCUCUUUGGUUUCCUAAUCUCCAGAAGUGUGAGCCAAAAUUAACAUCUUUUAUUUAUAAAAUACCCAAUCUCUAGUAUCCUGUUAUAGCAACAGAAAACAGACUAAGACAGUAUACCUAUAUAAAGGUAAGGAAGUAAUUGAUUCCCUCUUGGCUCUCCACAUAUGAGUGUGUGGGGCUGGGGAAUGGUAGUCAGUAGAAAAUAUAUAUAUUAUGUAUAUAAUGUAUAUGUGUGUAAAUAUUACACAUACAUACAUAUAUGUAUAUUAGAUGUGUGUAUAUAUAAUACUUAUAUUUGUUACUUAUAUUCCACAUAUAUACCCUAUGUGUGUGUAUAUUCCACAUAUAUUAAAUAACAUAUAUGUAUGUGUUCAUAUAUAUCAUAGUCAAUGGACUGUAAUACUAAAAAUUAGUGGAAAGAACAUUCCAUGCUGACCACAGGCAACAGAUCUGUGACUUAGAUCAGUCUCCAUGGCUAAAACUGUGGCCUCCAACAAACCAACUUUACAUUCUAAGCCUGAGUGUUCUGAUUUAUAAAAUAAGAUAAUUGGACUAAAUGAUCUUUAUUAUCUUCUUUAAUUGUAAAAAUUCUAUGAUUCUAGUAAAACCAGUCACAGGUCAUUGAGAGAAUAAACCAUUUUUUGGUUGUUCAAGUAAGCUCCAGGAAGCGACAGUAUGUGGCCCCUCAUCUCAAUUUUGCCCCUUCCAUCUGUGUGAGCUUAGAUAUGUUGUCAUGCCUCUCUGAGCCUCAGUUCAGGAAAGCACACAGAGGGCAUUGCCUGAUCUCUUCCAGGCUCCCAUGGUCAGAUCUGGUCUCUCAUUCUGCUUUGUGGUACAAAAUCAAAACUGGGUUCUCACCAUGUCAACUUCAGCUGAGGAAACAGGUGUUUCUGAGCCUUCUCCCCUAGGCACCCUAUCCCACAUAAACAUUUGUCAUCGUAUUUUCUGACUUAGAACAUACCUCAGAAUAUAAUCUCCUGGGGCUUAAAUGGAGCAGAAAGACACCAAGGAUGAAAGUAUCUUGGGGUUUCCUAUAUUUGGCCUCUCAUAACCUUCUUAAGCUCAGUCUCACUCCCUGGCCCUGUUCUUCCCAAGGAGUGCCUCAAGAUUGACAGAACAGUUGGGUUUGGUGGCACAUUCCUAUAAUCCCAGUGAUUUAGGAGGCUGAGGCAGGAGGAUCACAAGAGGAAAAGACCCUAUCUCCUUCUGGAAAUUUUCCAUGAUCCUGAAUUCUGGAACCAGAAACAGCUGUCCAUAGAGUCUCAAUCUUCAGACUGGAAUCCGUCCACCCUUAAUACUAAUUUUUUUGGUAAUAGAACAUGACACAUCACUUCCUUAAACUUGGGAGCUGGAGAGAAGGGUGCUUUCACCAGGAAAUAAGUAGAACAGGGAAAGCCUAAAGGCCUUGUCUCAAAGCACUGGCUUUAGAUCAAGUAAACUCAAGUUUGAUUCUCACUUGAUUACAUUUCAACUGUGACCUUGUGUACAUUACUUAACUUCUCUGAACUCAAUUUUCUCUAUUAAUACCUACCUCCCGGCAAAAUCAUGAGUUUUACACAUACUAAUCCAUAGAGCAAUGAUCUUAGUGCAAUAGCUUUCAUGUGUCUGGGGAUCAGUACAUUUUAGUUCUUUCCCUUUCCCCUUCUUUUCAAAAAAUAUUAUGAGAAAAGUGACAAGCCAUCAAGGAUUAGCUCAGUAGCAUCAGGGAUCCAUUGCAGCAGGCAUGUACCAGUUCUGCAGCCUAUUAUUAUCCCACAUACUCCCAAACCUCUCUGAUCUGGUCACCCGGAACCACCCACCCAUUCUCAAGUCACUCUGCAUUGUUGCUUCCACAGUUCUCUGCCUGGAUCACCUCCCCCUCCCCAUCUCUACCUAAGUCAGCUUCAUUUUUCAAGGCCCCAUUCAAAUGCCACAUUAUGUGGGAAGCACUCCCUUGAUCCUAACUGGAAGGAAGCAGCAUCAAUUCUGAGUCACCACCAUUCUUGCUGAAUCUUUCAUCAUAUUUCCCCUCUACAAGAAAGAAGUGGUGGUGCUCCUACCACCACCCCUCCAGCGAUCGAAGCUCUCUGACAAUGAAGAAUGCUGUUCAUGCGUCAUCUAGGAAGCCCUCAGAAGAGUGCCCUGCACAGAACAGAAACUCAGCAACCAUCAUUGACUGAAUAAAGGAAUAGAGAUGGAUUUAUUUGAAAUAGAAGAUGAGAAAGAUAAACCGUAGGUCUUUGGAAAGGGAACAGAAAAGAGAAAUUACACUAUUUUGCUUACCUAUUGUAUGAGAUGGAUAUUGUGACUGCUGAUUCACAGAGGUAGAAACACAGGCACGGUGUUGGGGGCAAAGUUAUGGGCUGACCACUGUUCCCAGUGUUUGGACAUGUCAUUUCAUUUAAUAUUCACAGCAACUAUUCUGAAGUACUCUUAUCCUUGCUUUGUGAAUAAAGAAACUGAGGCUCAAAGAAGUUAUGUAUAUAACCUCAGUUUACAAAGCUCAUCUCAAGCUGAGAGGUAGGGAGGACUAAAUGUAUCCAUUGCACCUCAGAUGUACACCAUCACUGAUUAUAUGUCCUCUAGAACCCCAAAUUCCAUUGAAGAAACAGAAGCAAACAAAAACUUGCCAAGUCAAAGAUCUCAUGGGGGUGGGGGUCAGGUGUUCUUUUCAUUUAUCUCCAUUUCUUUUAAACAGGUAUUCAAAUAGUUCAAAGUGAAAAGUUCUACCAGGACUAUUUUUCUCUAAAUGUUGCCACUCCUCCAUGCUCCCUGUUCCCAGGAAAGCUGGUCCCCAUCCUGUACCUAGUUCCUACUAUUCUGAGUGGAGGGGUCCCAAAUGUGCCUGCUCAGGGUCUGCUUCAUACCUGCUCAUAAAGCCAUGGAAAGGCUUUCGGUCUGCUCCUGGCCAGACUGGGGCCCAGCUGGCAGCUGGUAUUCCCUCCCACUCUCCUUCCUGGCUGGCUCAGCAGCACCCAGGGUUCGCUAAUAUAGCAGGCCUGAGGCUCAGCCGUUCCUGUGGCAUGAGCAGUCUUCCUCAUAGCCUCUGGUACGGGUCACCUCCCCUUUGCCAGAGAGGUCCAUGGUGGACGUGCUGGCUUUGGCUCUUAACAGGCCUUCUGCAUUUCCCAUAAGAUCCUUCAGGAACUUCUGAGCCAGGCUAUGUAGCACCAGGUGACAGCUAGACCUGCUCUCUCAGACUCUUCUCUGCUCCAGGAGGCCACCCCAGGUCCCUACAGGGCUAUUUGGAGGGCAGUCCAGGUAGUCUCUUCCUGGGUAUGGGUAUUUUUUUUUCUUUCUUUUCUUGUGUUUAUGCAUGUGUGUAUGUGUGUAUGCAUGUACUUUGUACAUGCUAGGCACACCCUCUACCACUGAUCUAUACUCCCGUCUCCCCCUGGAAAUUUUAAGUAGGAAGGGGUACAAACCACCUCAGAAAUUUCCAACUAAACUGACUUCUAAUCCUUCCCUUCAGGAAAUUGCAUGGAAAUGGAAGGAGACCCUCAGAGUUAUACAAAAGUACAUACAAGAGGAAGUGAGGGGAAAGGGAAAAAUAAUACAAGGGGGACAAAUGACUG
rnacentral:lncRNA from 1 species